rnacentral:rRNA from 1 species
AGAGUUUGAUCCUGGCUCAGAUUGAACGCUGGCGGCAGGCCUAACACAUGCAAGUCGAGCGGAAACGAGUUAACUGACCCUUCGGGUGACGUUAACGGCGUCGAGCGGCGGACGGGUGAGUAAUGCCUGGGAAAUUGCCCUGACGUGGGGGAUAACCAUUGGAAACGAUGGCUAAUACCGCAUAAUGCCUUCGGGCCAAAGAGGGGGACCUUCGGGCCUCUCGCGUCAGGAUAUGCCCAGGUGGGAUUAGCGUAGUUGGUGAGGUAAUGGCUCACCAAGGCGACGAUCCCUAGCUGGUCUGAGAGGAUGAUCACCCACACUGGAACUGAGACACGGUCCAGACUCCUACGGGAGGCAGCAGUGGGGAAUAUUGCACAAUGGGCGCAAGCCUGAUGCACCCAUGCCGCGUGUGUGAAGAAGGCCUUCGGGUUGUAAAGCACUUUCAGCAGUGAGGAAGGCGGGUACGUUAAUAGCGUGCUCGUUUGACGUUAGCUGCAAAAGAAGCACCGGCUAACUCCGUGCCAGCAGCCGCGGUAAUACGGAGGGUGCGAGCGUUAAUCGGAAUUACUGGGCGUAAAGCGCAUGCAGGUGGUUCGUUAAGUCAGAUGUGAAAGCCCGGGGCUCAACCUCGGAACUGCAUUUGAAACUGGCGGACUAGAGUACUGUAGAGGGGGGUAGAAUUUCAGGUGUAGCGGUGU